GCUGUUCUCAGCGUGAGAGGCUCUCCUACCCAAACUAGUUCUCCACAUCCUGGUAAAUUCAGAAAAGAAAACGAAGCACCACUUAAUCCAUAAUCUUUCCAAACACAGACAAUGAUCAUGCGGAAGCUUGGCAGAGCCAGUAGAUGUGACAGCCCUGGAGACAAAUCGUCUGGGUUUAAAGCUAGGCUCUACCACCCGCUGGCUGUGUGACUUUCA
rnacentral:lncRNA from 10 species